rnacentral:rRNA from 1 species
UAGAAACUGCCUACGCAAGUAGUGAGGAAGGUGGGGAUGACGUCAAAUCAGCACGGCCCUUACGUCCAGGGCUACACACGUGCUACAAUGGCCGAUACAGAGGGCAGCUACCUGGUGACAGGAUGCAAAUCUCCAAAGUCGGUCUCAGUUCGGAUCGGAGUCUGCAACCCGACUCCGUGAAGUUGGAUUCGCUAGUAAUCGCGCAUCAGCCAUGGCGCGGUGAAUACGUUCCCGGGCCUU